UAAAAAGACCGUCCCAGUUCAGAUCGCAGUCUGCAACCCGACUGCGUGAAGUCGGAAUCGCUAGUAAUCGCGGAUCAGCAUGCCGCGGUGAAUACGUUCCCGGGCCUUGUACACACCGCCCGUCACACCAUGAGAGUCGGGAACACCCGAAGUCCGUAGCCUAACCGCAAGGGGGGCGCGGCCGAAGGUGGGUUCGAUAAUUGGGGUGAAGUCGUAACAAGGUAUC
rnacentral:rRNA from 1 species